rnacentral:rRNA from 1 species
UACAGAGGGGGCAAGCGUUGUUCGGAAUUACUGGGCGUAAAGGGCGCGUAGGCGGCCUUCUAAGUCGAACGUGAAAUCCCCGGGCUCAACCCGGGAACUGCGUCCGAUACUGGAGGGCUUGAAUCCGGGAGAGGGAUGCGGAAUUCCAGGUGUAGCGGUGAAAUGCGUAGAUAUCUGGAGGAACACCGGUGGCGAAGGCGGCAUCCUGGACCGGCAUUGACGCUGACGGCGCGAAAGCCAGGGGAGCAAAGCGGG